AGUGAACGCUGGCGGUAGGCCUAACACAUGCAAGUCGAACGGCAGCACAGUAAGAUCUUGCUCUUACGGGUGGCGAGUGGCGGACGGGUGAGGAAUACAUCGGAAUCUACUUUUUCGUGGGGGAUAACGUAGGGAAACUUACGCUAAUACCUCAUACUACCUACGGGUGAAAGCAGGGGUUCUUCGCACCUUUCGCGUUUGUAUUAGCCGAUGUCGGAUUAGCUAGUUGGCGGGGUAAAGGCCCACCAAGGCGACGAUCCGUAGCUGGUCUGAGAGGAUGAUCAGCCACACUGGAACUGAGACACGGUCCAGACUCCUACGGGAGGCAGCAGUGGGGAAUAUUGGACAAUGGGCGCAAGCCUGAUCCAGCAAUACCGCGUGGGUGAAGAAGGCCUUCGGGUUGUAAAGCCCUUUUGUUGGGAAAGAAAAGAAGCAGGUUAAUACCCCGAUGUUCUGACGGUACCCAAAGAAUAAGCACCGGCUAACUUCGUG
rnacentral:rRNA from 1 species